UUUGUACUGCUGCAGGUUUCUGCUGCUGAGUUUUUCUGCUGCUGAGUUUUUCUACUGCUGAGUAUUUCUAGUGCUGACUGUUUCUAGUGCCAAAGGUUUUUACUGCUGAGUAUUUUUACUGCCAAAGGUUUCUACUGCUGAGUGUUUCUGCUGCUGAAGGUUUCUGUUGCUGAAAGUUUUGACUGCUGAGUGUUUCUACUGCCAAAGGUUUCUACUGCCAAGUGUUUCUACUGCUGAGUGUUUUUUUACUGCUGAUUAUUUUUACUGCCGAAGGUUUCUACUGCUGAGUGUUUCUAGUGUCGGGUGUUUCUGCUGCCAAAGGUUUCUACUGCUGAGGUUUUUUUUACUGCUGAGUAUUUUUACUGCCGAAGGUUUCUACUGCUGAGUGUUCCUGCUUCUGAAGAUUUCUACCGCUGACUGUUUCCACCGCUGAGUGUUUCUACUGCUGAAGGUUUCUACUGCCAAGUGUUUCUACCGCUGAGUGUUUCUGCUGCCAAGUGUUUCUACUUGCCGUUUCUGCUCCCGAAGGUUUCUACUGCUGAGUGUUUCUAUGCUGAGUGUUUCUAUUGCUGAGUGUUUUUUUACUGCUGAUUAUUUUUACUGCCGAAGGUUUCUACUGCUGAGUGUUUCUAGUGUCGGGUGUUUCUGCUGCCAAAGGUUUCUACUGCUGAGUGUUUCUACUGCUGAGUAUUUUUACUGCCGAGCGUUUCUGCUGCCGAAGGUUUCUACUGCUCAGUGUUUCUACUGCUGAGUGUUUCUG
ensembl:lncRNA